rnacentral:rRNA from 1 species
UCCUACGGAGGCAGCAGCGGGGAAUAUUGGACAAUGGGCGCAAGCCUGAUCCAGCAAUGCCGCGUGGGUGAAGAAGGCCUCGGGUUGUAAAGCCCUUUUGUACGGGAAGAAAUCAUCCGGGUUAAUACCCUGGGUGGAUGACGGUACCGUAGAAUAAGCACCGGCUAACUUCGUGCCAGCAGCCGCGGUAAUACGAAGGGUGCAAGCGUUAAUCGGAAUUACUGGCGUAAAGCGUGCGUAGGUGGUUGUUCAAGUCUGUCGUGAAAGCCCUGGGCUCAACCUGGGAAUGGCGAUGAAACUGGGCGACUGGAGUGCGGUAGAGGAUGGCGGAAUUCCCGGUGUAGCGGUGAAAUGCGUAGAGAUCGGGGGAACAUCCGUGGCGAAGGCGGCCAUCUGGACCAGCACUGACACUGAGGCACGAAAGCGUGGGGAGCAAACAGAUUAGAUACCCUGGUAGUCCACGCCCUAAACGAUGCGAACUGGAUGUUGGUCUCAACUUGGAGAUCAGUGUGAAGCUAACGCGUUAAGUUCGCCGCCUGGGGAGUACGGUCGCAAGACUGAAACUCAAAGGAAUUGACGG